rnacentral:rRNA from 1 species
UACAGAGGGUGCAAGCGUUGUUCGGAAUUAUUGGGCGUAAAGGGCGCGUAGGCGGCUGUACAAGUCAAAGGUGAAAUCCCUCGGCUCAACUGAGGAACUGCCUUUGAAACUGUACGCUUGAGGCCGGGAGGGGGUAGCGGAAUUCCCAAUGUAGCGGUGAAAUGCGUAGAUAUUGGGAGGAACACCAGUGGCGAAGGCGGCUACCUGGACCGGUUUCUGACGCUGAUGCGCGAAAGCGUGGGUAGCAAACAGGA